UGGGGAAUAUUGGACAAUGGGCGCAAGCCUGAUCCAGCCAUGCCGCGUGAGUGAUGAAGGCCUUAGGGUUGUAAAGCUCUUUUAUCCGGGACGAUAAUGACGGUACCGGAAGAAUAAGCCCCGGCUAACUUCGUGCCAGCAGCCGCGGUAAUACGAAGGGGGCUAGCGUUGCUCGGAAUCACUGGGCGUAAAGGGCGCGUAGGCGGACAUUUAAGUCAGGGGUGAAAUCCCGGGGCUCAACCUCGGAAUUGCCUUUGAUACUGGGUGCAUCGAGACCGGAAGAGGUAAGUGGAACUGCGAGUGUAGAGGUGAAAUUCGUAGAUAUUCGCAAGAACACCAGUGGCGAAGGCGGCUUACUGGUCCGGUUCUGACGCUGAGGCGCGAAAGCGUGGGGAGCAAACA
rnacentral:rRNA from 1 species